rnacentral:rRNA from 1 species
GACGAACGCUGGCGGCGUGCUUAACACAUGCAGGUCGUACGGUAAGGCCCUUUCGGGGGUCCACGAGUGGCGAACGGGUGAGUAACACGUGAGUAACCUGCCCACAACUUUGGGAUAACGCUAGGAAACUGGUGCUAAUACUGGAUAUGUGCUCCUGCUGCAUGGUGGGGGUUGGAAAGCUCCGGCGGUUGUGGAUGGACUCGCGGCCUAUCAGCUUGUUGGUGGGGUAGUGGCCUACCAAGGCGGCGACGGGUAGCCGGCCUGAGAGGGUGACCGGCCACAUUGGGACUGAGAUACGGCGCAGACUCCUACGGGAGGCAGCAGUGGGGAAUAUUGCACAAUGGGCGCAAGCCUGAUGCAGCAACGCCGCGGGCGGGAUGACGGCCUUCGGGUUGUAAACCGCUUUCAGCAGGGACGAAGCUUUUUGUGACGGUACCUGCAGAAGAAGCACCGGCUAACUACGUG